AGUGGAAGAUCAUAGAACGCUGGAAAGGCCUGAAAUGGAAAGAUGGAACAGCACAUGAUCAACCCUUUCAUGCUUCUGGUCCUACACAUAGAAGUACAAAUAGUAGAGAAGGAAUACUCCUCCUCUUGGAUGGAGAGCGUGGCAGUCAAAACACAGGCAUAGGCAAGAGAAGAGAAGAGUUAUAUGCAAGAGUUAACAUCACAGAUUCUGCAAAGACAUUUAAUAGGAAGAGCUACACAACCACAAAAGAGCCCUGGAGCAACAAUGGAGAUGACUCAAGAAAGGAGAGCAGCGAGGUUUGCCACAGAACAAGCAAGAUCCAAAGCAGAAUCCAAAUUAAGCCCUAUUCGCACAGGAUAAGUAUUACCCGGUGACCUCUAGUCAUUUGUAAUAAUUGCAGAGAUUGUCUGUGAUCGUAAUACUGUGCAAAUUGGCCAUGUCUGUAAUUUGUAAAGUAAAAAUUCACCUGCAAAUGACCUACCAUAUUUUGCCGUACACAGAGGUCCUGUAAUAAUAUUAAUCCUGUGCGAAUCAGAAUCCAUUUUUGGUAAGUAUGGUUAGUUAGUAUGACUAAUUGAUCAUUUUUGGUCACAUACAUUGUAGCGGUAACACUUUACAAUAAGGUGUCAUGUUAACAUUAGUUAAUUUAUUAACUUAUAUGAACCAACAAUGAACAAUACAUUUAUUACUUUAUUUAUUACUCUUAGUUAAUGUUAGUUAAUAAAAAAUACAGUUGUUCGUUAGCCUAAACCAUAAAGUACUCACCCGCCUGCAGAUUGCAAUCCUUGUGGUUGUUCUUGUUUGAGGCUCAGUUUGUAGUUAAGGAAGGAAAGGAAAGGACGUGAGGCCAAGUAUGGUGACCCAUACACAGAAUUUGUGCUCUGCCUUUGACACACACACACCCACCCAGGGAGCAGUGCUUUGCUCAAGGGACUCACCUCAGUCGUGGUAUUGAGGGUGGAGAGAGCACUGGUUAUUCACUCCCACCACCUUCAAUCCCUGCUGGACCUGGGACUCAAACCCACAACCUUUAGGUUACAAGCCUGACUCACUAACCAUUAGGCCAUGGCUAUAAGUUGUAAGUUAUAAGUUAUAAGUAAAGACUCACGGGAGGCAAUAGUAACCCCUGUUGAAAAAAACAGCAUAUG